UUGAUUUUGGAGAAGAACACCUUUAAACUUCAAAUAUAGAGUUUAACUUCAAAUAUAGAGUUUUAGAAACUUCAAAAUAGAGUUUCUUUUUGGAGAUGUUCUAAAGAGAAACAAGAUCAUUAACUCUUAGCCUACGUGAGAAGAAGGCUAACAAUAAUGAUUUAAUAUCUCUUAGUUACAAAAAACUAAAAGAACAUCUAAAUACAAUAAUACUAAAAGAAGGUUACAACCUGAAGACAAUUUCUUAAAGAUCAAAGAGAAACCAUACACAUGUUACUGAUUAUUAGCCUUUUCAGUUGUGGAGAGGAUUUGGACCUGUGUGAACUAAUCUCUUGUCGUCUUUAUAAACAUCAUCUCUGUUUUCUUCUUCACGAUGUGGAUCUGUGAACGACAAUGAGGUGCUGGGGGAUUGAGUCGACGAGGUUUCAUGGAAAGGACCAGCCUUUCUCGAUGAAGGAUAUGAUUGGUGAUGAUACUGAUGAGGAGAAGAAAGAGCUGAGGAUGAAGACAAACCAAACUGACCAAAGAUCAAGAUUCCCCACAAUAACAUGGUGGAGGGUGCUGCUCGUUUCCUUCGUCUUCUUCUUGUGUCGUGCUCAUUUCCUACAGAGUUUCCCAUGGCGGUUUGAGAGGUUCAAAGGUGACCCGUAAUCCGCACGUGGUUUCCGUUUGCCCAAAGGUCCGUAAUCCGCACAUGGUUUCCGAUUGCCAACCAUCUAAUCCCCCUGGCCCGGAACCAGCCGGCACUAAUACCCAUUACCCAAGGACCCAGCACCAACGCCGCGAUAACUUUAAACUUGGGGAGGGCGUAAAGCAUUCCGUGGCCACAGGGGGUAUUCGAACCCGGGUCCGUAUUGGUUUGUUAACUACCUCAAGACCACUAGCCCACCACCCUGUGGUUACUUUUGACUAGUUAUAAUAAUAUUGUUUGGAAAAAAUAGUAAUAAUAUUGUUUGGGAAAAAAAGUGAUAACUUUGUGUAGUAGUAGAUGAUAAACCCAAAAAGACAAAACUCUUUUCUUUGUUUCAGUGAAGUCUUAAGUAACAAAAAAGUUUGUCUUUGCUUC